ACUAUAUACUAAAACAAAGUAGGAGUACGGUAGCUUAUGAACAGUAAUUCCUUAGUAACAGUGUAGUUCUGGUUUUGCCCUUGAAGCAUCUUCUGUUUUACCUACUUUACCCAAACAGGUGUGGCAUCUUCUGCGUCUUCCAGCCGUUAAAUUUCUGUGGCUUUUUAAGUCGUGGCAGUCCGUGCUUGCUUCCAGAAAAAACAAUGACGGUGACAGAGGUCGAAAGAGACUGUAAGAGCGAAGAGUCUCUUUUAGUUCUACCACAAUACUCCAAUAGCUCAAGUGAAAGUCGCCUGCAUGCAGUGAGCGGACUCAACGGCGAGAGAGGACAAAUUGGAGGCUCUUUCCCUACACGAUCUCUCCAAUCCAAUACCCAUUAGACUGGAGGAAAACGGAACCAGAGGAAGGUGGUGCAUGGUAAGCGACGCCGCCAGGUGACCGGCACGAUUCGCAUCUCAGGGAGUCCACUCCCAUUCAAUAACUUCAAAGAACGCCUUGGAGAGAUCGAUCAAGAAUGAACCAGUUGGGACUUUUGCUGAAUCAGUGUCAUUCAAGUGAUUUGUGCAUGAAUUCAGUCAACUGAUCAUCCCAAGUGAAAGCCAUGACCGUUUGCUGAGCGGAAGUUUUAUAUAGCAUUUCCUUUAUUUCGUGGCACAUCAAUUUAUGCAGAUCUGACCAAGUAAUCUCAGAUAACUGAGAUCUUCAAGUGGGUAAGAAGACUUCAAAGAUUGAUAUGCGUUAUUCGAGAUUCUCCAAAGAAAGCUAAACAAUCAUUUACUUGGUGCUAAUUUCAAUUUUAGAUUGGUUGACGUAUUGACAAAUCAAUUUUAAACACCAUUUGAUUAUUCUUCUUUUUCUUCAAGUAGUGAACAACUAAAUAUGAUACCUGAGUUGGUCCUUUUUUUA